GAUGAACGCUGGCGGCGUGCCUAAUACAUGCAAGUCGAGCGAACGGACGAGAAGCUUGCUUUUCUGAUGUUAGCGGCGGACGGGUGAGUAACACGUGGAUAACCUACCUAUAAGACUGGGAUAACUUCGGGAAACCGGAGCUAAUACCGGAUAAUAUUUUGAACCGCAUGGUUCAAAAGUGAAAGACGGUCUUGCUGUCACUUAUAGAUGGAUCCGCGCUGCAUUAGCUAGUGGUAAGGUAACGGCUUACCAAGGCAACGAUGCAUAGCCGACCUGAGAGGGUGAUCGGCCACACUGGAACUGAGACACGGUCCAGACUCCUACGGGAGGCAGCAGUAGGGAAUCUUCCGCAAUGGGCGAAAGCCUGACGGAGCAACGCCGCGUGAGUGAUGAAGGUCUUCGGAUCGUAAAACUCUGUUAUUAGGGAAGAACAUAUGUGUAAGUAACUGUGCACAUCUUGACGGUACCUAAUCAGAAAGCCACGGCUAACUACGUG
rnacentral:rRNA from 1 species